GGGUGUAUAGCUCAGGGGUAGAGCACAUGCUUAGCAGCAAGGGGUCCUAGGUUCAAUCCCCAGUACCUCCA
rnacentral:tRNA from 1 species